rnacentral:rRNA from 1 species
CUACAGGCCUUAACACAUUGCAAGUCGAGGGGCAGCAAGGUCUUAGCUUGCUAAGGCCGAUGGCGACCGGCGCACGGGUGGGUAACACGUAUCCAACCUGCCGUCUACUCUUGGACAGCCUUCUGAAAGGAAGAUUAAUACAAGAUGGCAUCAUGAGUCCGCAUGUUCACAUGAUUAAAGGUAUUCCGGUAGACGAUGGGGAUGCGUUCCAUUAGAUAGUAGGCGGGGUAACGGCCCACCUAGUCUUCGAUGGAUAGGGGUUCUGAGAGGAAGGUCCCCCACAUUGGAACUGAGACACGGUCCAAACUCCUACGGGAGGCAGCAGUGAGGAAUAUUGGUCAAUGGGCGAGAGCCUGAACCAGCCAAGUAGCGUGAAGGAUGACUGCCCUAUGGGUUGUAAACUUCUUUUAUAAAGGAAUAAAGUCGGGUAUGGAUACCCGUUUGCAUGUACUUUAUGAAUAAGGAUCGGCUAACUCCGUGCCAGCAGCCGCGGUAAUACGGAGGAUCCGAGCGUUAUCCGGAUUUAUUGGGUUUAAAGGGAGCGUAGAUGGAUGUUUAAGUCAGUUGUGAAAGUUUGCGGCUCAACCGUAAAAUUGCAGUUGAUACUGGAUAUCUUGAGUGCAGUUGAGGCAGGCGGAAUUCGUGGUGUAGCGGUGAAAUGCUUAGAUAUCACGAAGAACUCCGAUUGCGAAGGCAGCCUGCUAAGCUGCAACUGACAUUGAGGCUCGAAAGUGUGGGUAUCAAACAGGAUUAGAUACCCUGGUAGUCCACACGGUAAACGAUGAAUACUCGCUGUUUGCGAUAUACUGCAAGCGGCCAAGCGAAAGCGUUAAGUAUUCCACCUGGGGAGUACGCCGGCAACGGUGAAACUCAAAGGAAUUGACGGGGGCCCGCGCAAGCGGAGGAACAUGUGGUUUAAUUCGAUGAUACGCGAGGAACCUUACCCGGGCUUAAAUUGCAGAUGAAUUACGGUGAAAGCCGUAAGCCGCAAGGCAUCUGUGAAGGUGCUGCAUGGUUGUCGUCAGCUCGUGCCGUGAGGUGUCGGCUUAAGUGCCAUAACGAGCGCAACCCUUGUUGUCAGUUACUAACAGGUUCCGCUGAGGACUCUGACAAGACUGCCAUCGUAAGAUGUGAGGAAGGUGGGGAUGACGUCAAAUCAGCACGGCCCUUACGUCCGGGGCUACACACGUGUUACAAUGGGGGGUACAGAGGGCCGCUACCACGCGAGUGGAUGCCAAUCCCCAAAACCUCUCUCAGUUCGGACUGGAGUCUGCAACCCGACUCCACGAAGCUGGAUUCGCUAGUAAUCGCGCAUCAGCCACGGCGCGGUGAAUACGUUCCCGGGCCU